UAUAAAUUUUCUUUGUCAACGAUUUUCAUUUAGCAUUUUAUCAAGUUAAUAUUUACACAUUUCCUAUUUGGUACUUUUCUUAGAGAUUUUAGCAGGAUAAAUUUUAGAUGCCAAGUAACAAAACCAUAUUUAAAGUUAAGUGCAAUAUUAAAAAUUGCAAAACUUCUAAAAUAAGAAGUGACAAGAUACAUGAACAUUAUAAACAUAAACAUCCUCAUGUCAAGCCAGCUGAUAUGAAAUUUACAAAGGUAGCCAUCAAAAGAGAUAAUAAUAAUUGGGUAUCUUUAAAUUGUGAUAUUCCAUAUAAUAUCACAAAUGGAGUUGAAACCCAGUUGCAAAAAAAGACAAUAACAUCUUACUUCCAAAAAGUAAUAUUUUUAUUUAUUAUUGUAACUAUAAAUUUGUGAAUUAAUAGAAACUGAUUUAAAAUUUUACCAGAAUAAUAUUAAUAUUAAAGUAGUCAGGGUAUAGAGAAAAUAAAUUAUAUAUAUUAUUAUUUAAUGUUUUUUAACUGUUUAUCACACUAUUUUUAUAUCUAUAUAUACUUUAUAAAGUUCAAUUUAACAAUAUGUUUAAUAAGUUAAUAAUAAUAAUU